rnacentral:misc_RNA from 1 species
GAAAUGCGAUAAGUAAUGUGAAUUGCAGAAUUCAGUGAAUCAUCGAAUCUUUGAACGCACAUUGCGCCCGUUAGCAUUCUAGCGGGCAUGCCUGUCCGAGCGUCAUUUCAACCCUCAGGGCCCCCCGUUCCGGCGGGCGGACCUGGCGUUGGGGAUCGGCCCGCCCCGUGCGGCGCCGUCCCCCAAAUACAGUGGCGGUCCCGCCGCAGCCUCCCCUGCGUAGUAGUUUACAACCUCGCAUCGGAGCGCGGCGCGGCCACGCCGUAAAACCCCCGACUUUCUGAACGUUGACCUCGGAUCAUGUAGGAAUACCCGCUGAACUUAAGC